rnacentral:rRNA from 1 species
UACAGAGGUCCCAAGCGUUGUUCGGAUUCAUUGGGCGUAAAGGGUGCGUAGGUGGCGCUGUAAGUCGGGUGUGAAAUUUCGGAGCUUAACUCCGAAGCUGCAUUCGAUACUGCGGUGCUCGAGGACUGGAGAGGAGACUGGAAUUCAUGGUGUAGCAGUGAAAUGCGUAGAGAUCAUGAGGAAGACCAGUGGCGAAGGCGGGUCUCUGGACAGUUCCUGACGCUGAGGCACGAAGGCCAGGGGAGCAAACGGG